rnacentral:sRNA from 1 species
AAAAAGAGAAAUAUAAAAAGGAUGAGGUAACAGUUAUAGACAGCUUAGGCUAGUCUUGGGUUAUAGUAAUCUGCAGAUACAUGUUGUGUGAAUGACAUCUGAAGGUGUUAUCUUACACUGUAAAUCAUUUUUAUGACUACACAUACACUAUUUCAUGAAGAUGAAAAUGCAUUUCUAGUUAAUUUCUAAACUUGUUUGUAAACAGUAACUUCUUUUAAAUUAGCUAACUCUAAAUGAUCUGUUCUAAUUAAUUUUCAACUUGCAUAACGUGAAAAAGAAGUAAUUUUCAACUUGUAACUUUACUGAAAAUUUUCAAAUAUGCUUUUCCAUAAUAUUUACCAGGGUUACUAGUAACAGAAAAUUACCAGUUAAUGGAAUAUUUCUUUCCUCACUACCUCUCAAAUAUAUAUGUCCCUUGGAAGAGACCGAAGUGAGAAAUUAAAAACAUGAGAACUAGAAAGGAAACAAGAGCAUAGGAGUUUUUAUGAGGAUAAUAAACCCACAUGGGAAGAGCCAGAUCACAAAAUAAACUUUUUUAUUUUUUAACAAAACACAUUUUAAUGUAAUCCAUGUUUAACUGCAGACUUGCCUUAAAACAAGAAAAUGAGGAGAAAAGAAAUGCCAAUAUGUUGUAUAAUAAAGAUAGUGAACGGUUAAGAAUAAAAGAAGAGGAGUGUGGGAAAGUGGUUGAAACAAAGCAACAACUUAAAUGGAAUCUGAGAAGACUUGUUAAGGAAUUGAGGACAGUAAGAAAUAACUUGGAUCUGGUUGUGCAGGAGAGAAACGAUGCCCAGAAGCAACUUUCUGAAGAACAGAAUGCGAGAAUAUUACAAGAUCAGAUUCUGACGAGUAAAGAAAAGGAACUAGAAAUGGCUCAAAAGAAAAUGAAUUCUGAGAUUUCUCAUAGGCAUCUGAAAGAAAAGGAUCUCUUUCAUGAAAAUUGCAUGUUGCAGGAAGAAAUUGCCUUGCUGAGACUGGAAAUAGAUACAAUAAAACAUCAGAAAAAGCAAAAGGAAAAGAAAUAUUUUGAGAACAUUGAGGUUGUGAAAGAAAAGAAUGAUAACCUUCAAAAAAUUAUAAAACUAAAUGAGGAAACAUUAACAGAAACAAUACUCCAGUACAGUGGACAGCUGAACAAUCUGACAACUGAGAACAAAAUACUCAAUUCUGAACUGGAGAAUGGGAAACAGAACCAAGAAAGACUGGAAAUAGAAAUGGAAUCAUACCGUUGUAGACUGGCUGCUGCUCUAUGUGACUGUGAUCAAAGUCAGACAGCAAGAGACCUAAAACUUGAUUUCCAGAGAACAAGACAAGAGUGGGUUCGUUUACAUGACAAAAUGAAGGUUGAUAUGUCUGGCCUACAAGCUAAGAAUGAGAUUCUUUCUGAAAAACUUUCUAAUGCUGAAAGUAAAAUCAACAGCCUACAAAUUCAGCUCCAUAACACAAGAGAUGCUCUUGGAAGAGAGAGUUGGAUUUUGGAACGUGUGCAAAGAGACCUCAGCCAAACACAGUGUCAGAAGAAAGAAACUGAACAAAUGUACCAAAUUGAACAAAGCAAACUGAAGAAAUACAUUGCCAAGCAGGAAUCUGUAGAGGAGAGAUUAUCUCAACUACAAAGUGAAAAUACGUUGCUUCGACAGCAACUGGAUGAUGCUCACAAGAAAGCUAACAGUCAAGAAAAGACAAUCAGUACUAUCCAAGACCAGUUUCAUUCUGCUGCCAAAAAUCUUCGAGCUGAGAGUGAAAAGCAGAUUCUUUCACUACAAGAGAAGAACAAGGAGCUGAUGGAUGAAUAUAAUCAUUUAAAAGAAAGAAUGGAUCAAUGUGAGAAAGACAAAGCAGGAAGAAAAGUUGACCUUACAGAAGCACAGGAAACUGUACCUUCACGAUGUCUACAUCUGGAUGCAGAGAAUGUUCUUCAACUUCAACAGACAUUAUUCUCUAUGAAAGCAAUACAAAAGCAAUGUGAAACACUACAGAAGAAUAAGAAGCAGCUGAAACAAGAAGUAGUAAACCUCAAAAGUUAUAUGGAGAGAAAUAUGUUAGAACAUGGUGAAGCUGAACAGCAUAAACUGUUGAUUGAAGAAAGAGCAAGGAAGGAGACAGAAGAAAAAUUAAACGAAGCCGUUCUCACCUUGCAGAAACAAGCAGCAGUAUCUCAAGAACAGUUAGCACAGUUAAGGGAGGAUAAUACUACUUCAAUAAAAACUCAGAUGGAACUCACAAUCAAAGAUCUGGAAUCUGAAAUCUCCAGAAUAAAAACUUCGCAAGCCGACUGUAAUAAAACCGAAUUGGAAAGAUAUAAGGAACUCUACCUAGAAGAAGUAAAAGUUAGAGAAUCCUUGUCAAAUGAACUCAGUAGAACUAAUGAGAUGAUAGCAGAGGUCAGUACGCAACUUACUGUGGAGAAAGAGCAGACCAGAUCCAGAUCUCUAUUCACUGCUUAUACUACAAGGCCAGUCCUAGAGUCACCUUGCAUUGGAAAUCUUAAUGACAGUGAAGGUCUCAACAGAAAACAUAUUCCAAGAAAAAAGAGAUCUGCUCUUAAGAGCGUGGAGAGCUACUUGUUGAAGGUUAGCUAUGUUUUUUCCUUUGGCGUUCAGAUUUCUGAUAUAAUUCUUAUAUGUUAUUUGGUAAAAUACUCAGUUACUUAAUUGGCUUGUGUAUGGUAAGUAAAAGUAAUAAUUACCUGUGUUAAUAAAGAGAGGAGACAGAAAUUUUAGUUAUUUUUAAGUCUCUGGAGCUCUCAUUCAUAAGAGAUUACUCCUUUGUUAACUUUAUUCAAUAAAUGUAACCAAACUGACAUAUUUUAAAUUUCUUUAAAAACUGCAUUUAAGUUAGAUUUUAACCAAAGGUUUACUUUGAUGUGCUUUGUCUUACUAAUUGAUUUUAGUUUGUCUGGGGUUCACUUUUAAAGGGUAUAGUGUGCCUGGGGUCACUUUUAAAGUUUUUCUGCAUCAUCUCAGGUUUUCUACCCCUCAUCAUAUGUUAAUGAUUGGUGUCCAAACACUAACCACCCAUGGAUGUUUAUUAUUUAAAAGGACCCAAGGUGAAUACUUUUAUAUGUUAUAUAAACCUGCAACACUUGAUUAAUCUGUUCUUUAAGUUAAAAGUUUUGUGAUUUUCUUACAUGAGUACAUCUGUAAUUGCUAUUGCACUUAAUAGUGUUUUAAUCCCAAUUUUAGUAAAAUGUGUCUAUUGCUAUGCAGUAGUACAGUGGUUUUGAAAUAGUUAAAUCAAAUAAAUAUUUGUAUUUUUAAAGUAAAGCUCACAUAAGUUAUGUCUCUCUACCUGGCCAUAACUUGAGUAAUUGAUGACUAAGACGGCAAUGAUAUCUAGAGUCCUUCAAUAGCAAAUGUGACCAAACAGAAUCAGUUCUAUUCUUAAUACCCCAAAUUCCAUGUAAAGCUGCACAUGGACAUCUCCCCUGGACAUGUAACAGGAACCUUUUAGUUCAACCAUGUGGUUUCACUCAGAAUAAGAGUCUAUUUCUGGCGAUUUCAAAAUGGAUCCAAGAAUGACGAGCUGUAUCAACUAUAGAGUUGGUAAGGAAGAAAAAAACAAAACGUAGUUCAACUAUGCUUGACCCAGAUUAAGGUAUUUGUCUAACAUUUGUCCAUUUUUCAACUGAGGGAAAAUUACAAAAGCUGGGCACAGUGGCACACACCUGUAGUCCCAGCUGCUCCUGAGGCUGAGGCAGGAAGAUCACUUGAACUCAGUUCAAGGCUGCAGUGCACAAUGAUUAUUCCAGUGAGUAGCUACUGCAGCAUUCCAGUCUGGGCAACAUAGCAAGAUUCUGUCUCUUAAAAAAAUUACAAAAUCCAUAAAACAUUUGUUUGAACAAAAAUAAAUAGUUUUCUUUGUGUAUAUUGUUGUUUUUAAAAUUUUCAAUCGAUGCACAUUGGCUUAUAGUUUUGAUGUUUUUAUGAUCUCCUUAGCACACAGAAAAGUAGCACAGGCCCACGUGGAAUGAACCUCAACCUUGUUGUGUUUACCUGGCUAUUUCGUGUCCUAACAAAUCAUAGAAGAGCAAAUCUAAGGUUUCUUAGAUAGCAUUGUGGCCAAAUAGCUUAAAAGGGAAUGCAUUAAAUGAUUGUUUUAAUACAUAGAUUACAAGAGCCCAGCUAGCUGAUAUUUUUAAUCAUAUUGUUCGCUUAGGUUUUAUUUUUCUGAAAAAAAUGAGAUCAUCAGCGUCCAAAUGCCUCAGUCACGAAAUUGUACCACUGAGUACUAAUGGGAAAUGAAUGUUAAAUACGUCUGUAAAUGGUUAAGCAAGAUGCAGAUAUAAUGUUCUCAUUAGUACUAUGAACCCCCAAAAUUUGAGACAAGUCUCAAUUAAUUUAGAAAGUUUAUUUUGCCAAGGUUGAGGACACACACCUGUGACACAGCCUCAGGAAGUCCUGAUGACAUGUGUCCAAGGUGGUUGGAGCACAGCUUGGUUUUAUACAUUUUAGAGAGACAUGAGACAUCAAUCAAUAUAUUUAAGAAGUACAUUGGUUCACUCUGGAAAGACAGGACAACUUGAAGCAAAGGGAGGAAGACUGGAAGCGGGGAGGGGGCUUCCAGGUCACAGAUAGGUGAGAGACAAACAGUUGCACUCUUUUGAGUUUCUGAUUAGCCUUUCCAAAGGAGACAGUCAGAUCUGCAUUUAUCUUAGUGAGCAGAGAGGUAACUUUGAAUAGAAUGGGAGGCAGGUUUGCCCUAAGCAGUUUCCAGCCUGAGUUUUCCUUUUAGCUUAGUGAUUUUGGAGGCCCGAGAUAUUUUCCUUUCACAAUACUCACCAGAGAAACAAGGUAAUGUAUCAUUUUACAAGAUGGUGCUGAGAGAGUAUAAAAAGCAGAUAUAGGCCGGGCACUGUGGCUCACACCUGUAAUCCCAGCACUUUGGGAGGCCGAGGCGAGCGGGUCAUUUGAGGUCAGGAAUUCGAGACCAGCCUGGAAAACAUGGUGAAACCCUGUCUCUGCUAAAAAUACAAAAAUUAGCCUGGCGUGGUGGCGGGCGCCUAUAAUCCUAGCUACCCGGGAGGCUGAGGCAGGAGAAUAGCUUGAACCCACGAGGCAGAGGUUGCAGUGAGCCGAGAUUGUGCCACUGCACUGCAGCCCAGGUGACAGAGCAAGACUCCAUCUC